GGCCCUAUCGACUAGUGGUUAGGUCACCACCCUUUCAAGGUGGUCGGACGGGUUCGAAUCCCGUUAGGGUCACCA
rnacentral:tRNA from 1 species